ACUGCAGCGCCAACGUCCGAGCGGGCGGCCGAGCUCCCGGAGCGGCCUGGCCCCGAGCCCCGAGCGGGCGUCGCUCAGCAGCAGGUCGCGGCCGCAGCCCCAUCCAGCCCCGCGCCCGCCAUGCCGUCCGCCGGCCCCGCCUGAGCCGCGGCCUCCGCGCGCGGGCGGGCCUGGGGACGGCGGGGCCAUGCGCGCGCUGCCCUAACGAUGCCGCCCGCCGCGCCCGCCCGCCUGGCGCUGGCCCUGGGCCUGGGCCUGUGGCUCGGGGCGCUGGCGGGGGGCCCCGGGCGCGGCUGCGGGCCUUGCGAGCCCCCCUGCCUCUGCGGCCUAGCGCCCGGCGCCGCCUGCCGCGUCAACUGCUCGGGCCGCGGGCCGCGGGCUGCGGACGCUCGGUCCCGCGCUGCGCAUCCCCGCGGACGCCACAGCGCUAGACGUCUCCCACAACCUGCUCCGGGCGCUGGACGUUGGGCUCCUGGCGAACCUCUCGGCGCUGGCAGAGCUGGAUAUAAGCAACAACAAGAUUUCUACGUUAGAAGAAGGAAUAUUUGCUAAUUUAUUUAAUUUAAGUGAAAUAAACCUGAGUGGGAACCCGUUUGAGUGUGACUGUGGCCUGGCGUGGCUGCCGCGAUGGGCGGAGGAGCAGCAGGUGCGGGUGGUGCAGCCCGAGGCAGCCACGUGUGCUGGGCCUGGCUCCCUGGCUGGCCAGCCUCUGCUUGGCAUCCCCUUGCUGGACAGUGGCUGUGGUGAGGAGUAUGUCGCCUGCCUCCCUGACAACAGCUCAGGCACCGUGGCAGCAGUGUCCUUUUCAGCUGCCCACGAAGGCCUGCUUCAGCCAGAGGCCUGCAGCGCCUUCUGCUUCUCCACCGGCCAGGGCCUCGCAGCCCUCUCCGAGCAGGGCUGGUGCCUGUGUGGGUCAGCCCAGCCCUCCAGUGCCUCCUUCGCCUGCCUGUCCCUCUGCUCCGGCCCCCCGCCGCCUCCUGCCCCCACCUGUAGGGGCCCCACCCUCCUCCAGCACGUCUUCCCUGCCUCCCCAGGGGCCCCCCUGGUGGGGCCCCACGGACCCCUGGCCUCCGGCCAGCUAGCAGCCUUCCACAUCGCUGCCCCGCUCCCUGUCACUGCCACACGCUGGGACUUCGGAGACGGCUCCCCCGAGGUGGAUGCCGCUGGGCCGGCUGCCUCGCAUCGCUAUGUGCUGCCUGGGCGCUAUCACGUGACGGCCGUGCUGGCCCUGGGGACCGGCUCAGCCCUGCUGGGGACAGACGUGCAGGUGGAAGCGGCACCUGCCGCCCUGGAGCUCGUGUGCCCGUCCUCGGUGCAGAGUGACGAGAGCCUCGACCUCAGCAUCCAGAACCGCGGUGGUUCAGGCCUGGAGGCCGCCUACAGCAUCGUGGCCCUGGGCGAGGAGCCGGCCCGAGCGGUGCACCCGCUCUGCCCCUCGGACACGGAGAUCUUCUCUGGCAAUGGGCACUGCUACCGCCUGGUGGUGGAGAAGGCGGCCUGGCUGCAGGCGCAGGAGCAGUGUCGGGCCUGGGCCGGGGCCACCCUGGCAAUGGUGGACAGUCCCGCCGUGCAGCGCUUCCUGGUCUCCCGGGUCACCAGGAGCCUAGACAUGUGGAUCGGCUUCUCGACUGUGCAGGGGGUGGAGGUGGGCCCAGCGCCGCAGGGCGAGGCCUUCAGCCUGGAGAGCUGCCAGAACUGGCUGCCCGGGGAGCCACACCCAGCCACAGCCGAGCACUGCGUCCGGCUCGGGCCCACCGGGUGGUGUAACACCGACCUGUGCUCAGCGCCGCACAGCUACGUCUGCGAGCUGCGGCCUGGAGGCCCAGUGCAGGAUGCCGAGAACCUCCUCGUGGGAGCGCCCAGUGGGGACCUGUAGGGACCCCUGAUGCCUCUGGCACGGCAGGACGGCCUCUCAGCCCCGCACGAGCCCGUGGAGGUCAUGGUAUUCCCGGGCCUGCGUCUGAGCCGUGAAGCCUUCCUCACCACGGCCGAAUUUGGGACCCAGGAGCUCCGGCGGCCCGCCCAGCUGCGGCUGCAGGUGUACCGGCUCCUCAGCACAGCAGGGACCCCGGAGAACGGCAGCGAGCCUGAGAGCAGGUCCCCGGACAACAGGACCCAGCUGGUCCCCGCGUGCAUGCCAGGGGGACGCUGGUGCCCUGGAGCCAACAUCUGCUUGCCGCUGGACGCCUCCUGCCACCCCCAGGCCUGCGCCAAUGGCUGCACGUCAGGGCCAGGGCUACUCGGGUCCCCCUAUGCGCUAUGGAGAGAGUUCCUCUUCUCCGUUCCCGCGGGGCCCCCCGCGCAGUACUCGGUCACCCUCCACGGCCAGGAUGUCCUCAUGCUCCCUGGUGACCUCGUUGGCUUGCAGCACGACGCUGGCCCUGGCGCCCUCCCGCACUGCUCGCCGGCUCCCGGCCACCCUGGUCCCCAGGCCCCGUACCUCUCCGCCAACGCCUCGUCAUGGCUGCCCCACUUGCCAGCCCAGCUGGAGGGCACUUGGGCCUGCCCUGCCUGUGCCCUGCGGCUGCUUGCAGCCACGGAACAGCUCACCGUGCUGCUGGGCCUGAGGCCCAACCCUGGGCUGCGGCUGCCUGGGCGCUAUGAGGUCCGGGCAGAGGUGGGCAAUGGCGUGUCCAGGCACAACCUGUCCUGCAGCUUUGACGUGGUCUCCCCAGUGGCUGGGCUGCGGGUCAUCUACCCUGCCCCCCGCGACGGCCGCCUCUACGUGCCCACCAACGGCUCAGCCUCGGUGCUCCAGGUGGACUCUGGUGCCAGCGCCACGGCCACGGCUCGCUGGCCUGGGGGCAGUGUCAGCGCCCGCUUUGAGAAUGCCUGCCCUGCCCUGGUGGCCACCUUCGUGCCCAGCUGCCCCUGGGAGACCAAUGAUACCCUGUUCUCAGUGGUAGCACUGCCGUGGCUCGGUGAGGGGGAGCACGUGAUGGACGUUGUGGUGGAAAACAGCGCCAGCCGGGCCAACCUCAGCCUGCGGGUGACGGCGGAGGAGCCCAUCUGUGGCCUCCGCGCCACGCCCAGCCCCGAGGCCCGUGUACUGCAGGGAGUCCCAGUGAGGUACAGCCCCGUGGUGGAGGCCGGCUCGGACAUGGUCUUCCGGUGGACCAUCAACGACAAGCAGUCCCUGACCUUCCAGAACGUGGUCUUCAAUGUCAUUUAUCAGAGCGCGGCGGUCUUCAAGCUCUCACUGACGGCCUCCAACCACGUGAGCAACGUCACCGUGAACUACAACAUCACCGUGGAGCGGAUGAACAGGAUGCAGGGCCUGCGGGUCUCUACAGUGCCAGCCGUGCUGUCCCCCAAUGCCACGCUGGCACUGACGGCGGGCGUGCUGGUGGACUCGGCCGUGGAGGUGGCCUUCCUGUGGACCUUUGGGGAUGGGGAGCAGGCCCUCCACCAGUUCCAGCCUCCGUACAACGAGUCCUUCCCGGUUCCAGACCCCUCGGUGGCCCAGGUGCUGGUGGAGCACAAUGUCACCCACACCUACGCUGCCCCAGGUGCUGAUCCGCAGUGGCCGGGUGCCCAUUGUGUCCUUGGAGUGUGUGUCCUGCAAGGCACAGGCCGUGUACGAAGUGAGCCGCAGCUCCUACGUGUACCUGGAGGGCCGCUGCCUCAAUUGCAGCAGCGGCUCCAAGCGAGGGCGGUGGGCUGCACGUACGUUCAGCAACAAGACGCUGGUGCUGGAUGAGACCACCACAUCCACGGGCAGCGCAGGCAUGUGACUGGUGCUGCGGCGGGGCGUGCUGCGGGACGGCGAGGGAUACACCUUCACGCUGACGGUGCUGGGCCGCUCUGGCGAGGAGGAGGGCUGCGCCUCCAUCCCCCUGUCCCCCAACCGCCCGCCGCUGGGGGGCUCUUGCUGCCUCUUCCCACUGGGCGCUGUGCACGCUCUCACCACCAAGGUGCACUUCGAAUGCAUGGGCUGGCAUGACGCGGAGGAUGCUGGCGCCCCGCUGGUGUACGCCCUGCUGCUGCAGCGCUGUCGCCAGGGCCACUGCGAGGAGUUCUGUGUCUACAAGGGCAGCCUCUCCGGCUACGGAGCCGUGCUGCCCCCGGGUUUCAGGCCACACUUCGAGGUGGGCCUGGCCGUGGUGGUGCAGGACCAGCUGGGAGCCGCUGUGGUCGCCCUCAACAGGUCUCUGGCCAUCACCCUCCCAGAGCCCAACGGCAGCGCAAUGGGGCUCACAGUCUGGCUGCACGGGCUCACCGCUAGUGUGCUCCCGGGGCUGCUGCGGCAGGCCGAUCCCCAGCACGUCAUCGAGUACUCGCUGGCCCUGGUCACUGUGCUGAACGAGUACGAGCGGGCCCUGGACGUGGCGGCAGAGCCCAAGCACGAGCGGCAGCGCCGAGCCCAGAUACGCAAGAACAUCACGGAGACUCUGGUGUCCCUGAGGGUCCACACUGUGGAUGACAUCCAGCAGAUCGCUGCUGCGCUGGCCCAGUGCAUGGGGCCCAGCAGGGAGCUCGUAUGCCGCUCGUGCCUGAAGCAGACGCUGCACAAGCUGGAGGCCAUGAUGCGCAUCCUGCAGGCAGAGACCACCGCGGGCACCGUGACGCCCACCGCCAUCGGAGACAGCAUCCUCAACAUCACAGGAGACCUCAUCCACCUGGCCAGCUCAGACGUGCGGGCACCACAGCGCUCAGAGCUGGGAGCCGAGUCACCAUCGCGGAUGGUGGCGUCCCAGGCCUACAACCUGACCUCUGCCCUCACGCCCAUCGUCACGCGCUCCCGCGUGCUCAACGAGGAGCCCCUGACGCUGGCGGGUGAGGAGAUCGUGGCCCAGGGCAAGCGCUCGGACCCGCGGAGCCUGCUGUGCUAUGGCGGCGCCCCAGGGCCUGGCUGCCACUUCUCCAUCCCCUAGGCUUUCAGCAGGGCCCCGGCCAACCUCAGUGACGUGGUGCAGCUCAUCUUUCUGGUGGACUCCAAUCCCUUUCCCUUUGGCUAUAUCAGCAACUACACCGUCUCCACCAAGGUGGCCUCGAUGGCGUUCCAGACACAGGCCGGCGCCCAGAUCCCCAUCGAGCGGCUGGCCUCAGAGCGCGCCUCACCGUGAAGGCCGCUACCUGUCUGAGGAACCCGAGCCCUACCUGGCAGUCUACCUGCACUCGGAGCCCCGGCCCAAUGAGCGCAACUGCUCGGCUAGCAGGAGGAUCCGCCCAGAGUCCCUCCAGGGUGCCGACCACCGGCCCUACACCUUCUUCAUUUCCCCGGGGACCAGAGACCCAGUGGGGAGUUACCGUCUGAACCUCUCCAGCCACUUCCGCUGGUCGGCGCUGGAGGUGUCCGUGGGCUUGUACACGUCCCUGUGCCAGUACUUCAGCGAGGAGGACGUGGUGUGGCGGACAGAGGGGCUGCUGCCCCUGGAGGAGACCUCGCCCCGCCAGGCCGUCUGCCUCACCCGCCACCUCACCGCCUUCGGCACCAGCCUCUUCAUGCCCCCAAGCCAUGUACGCUUUGUGUUUCCUGAGCCAACAGCGGAUGUAAACUACAUCGUCAUGCUGACAUGUGCUGUGUGCCUGGUGACCUACAUGGUCAUGGCCGCCAUCCUGCACAAGCUGGACCAGUUGGAUGCCAGCCGGGGCUGCGCCAUCCCCUUCUGUGGGCAGCGGGGCCGCUUCAAGUACGAGAUCCUCGUCAAGACAGGCUGGGGCCGGGGCUCAGGUACCACGGCCCACGUGGGCAUCAUGCUGUAUGGGGUGGACAGCCGGAGCGGCCACCGGCACCUGGACGGCGACAGAGCCUUCCACCGCAACAGUCUGGACAUCUUCCAGAUCGCCACCCCGCACAGCCUGGGUAGCAUGUGGAAGAUCCGAGUGUGGCACGACAACAAAGGGCUCAGCCCUGCCUGGUUCCUGCAGCACAUCAUCGUCAGGGACCUGCAGACGGCACGCAGCACCUUCUUCCUGGUCAAUGACUGGCUUUCGGUGGAGACGGAGGCCAACGGGGGCCUGGUGGAGAAGGAGGUGCUGGCCGCGAGUCACGCAGCCCUGUUGCGCUUCCGGCGCCUGCUGGUGGCUGAGCUGCAGCGUGGCUUCUUUGACAAGCACAUCUGGCUCUCCAUAUGGGACCGGCCGCCUCGGAGCUGUUUCACUCGCAUCCAGAGGGCCACCUGCUGCGUUCUCCUCAUCUGUCUCUUCCUGGGCGCCAACGCCGUGUGGUACGGGGCUGUUGGAGACUCUGCCUACAGCACGGGGCGUGUGUCCAGGCUGAACCCGCUGAGCGUCGACACAGUCGCUGUUGGCCUGGUGUCCAGCGUGGUUGUCUAUCCCGUCUACCUGGCCAUCCUCUUUCUCUUCCGGAUGUCCCGGAGCAAGGUGGCUGGGAGCCCGAGCCCCACACCUGCCGGGCAGCAGGUGCUGGACGUCGACAGCUGCCUGGACUCAUCCGUGCUGGACAGCUCCUUCCUCACGUUCUCAGGCCUCCACGCUGAGGUGAGGGCUCUACUGGGGGUCCUGCCGCCUUGGCGCAGCUUGGACUCAAGACCCUGUGCACCUCUCAGCAGGCCUUUGCUGGACAGAUGAAGAGUGACUUGUUUCUGGAUGAUUCUAAGAGGUUAUCAAUACUCUGGCUGACCAUCGUCAUCGUGGGACUGACUUUGGUGGAAGUCCUUGGUUACUUAUCAUUACUGUGUUUCUGAGAAGUUAUAAAUUUGCCAUCUCCCUCUGCACAAGUUACCUUUGUGUGUCUUUCCUGAAGACUAUCUUCCCGUCUCAAAAUGGACAUGAUGGAUCCACGGAUGUACAGCAGAGAGCCAGGAGGUCCAACUGCCGUAGACAGGAAGGAAUUAAAAUUGUCCUGGAAGACAUCUUUACUUUAUGGAGACAGGUGGAAACCAAAGUUCGAGCUAAAAUCCGUAAGAUGAAGGUGACAACAAAAGUCAACCGUCAUGACAAAAUCAAUGGAAAGAGGAAGACCGCCAAAGAACAUCUGAGGAAACUAAGCAUGAAAGAACGUGAGCACGGAGAAAAGGAGAGGCAGGUGUCAGAGGCAGAGGAAAAUGGGAAAUUGGAUAUGAAAGAAAUACACACCUACAUGGAAAUGUUUCAACGUGCGCAAGCGUUGCGGCGGCGGGCAGAGGACUACUACAGAUGCAAAAUCACCCCUUCUGCAAGAAAGCCUCUUUGCAACCGGGUCAGAAUGGCGGCAGUGGAGCAUCGUCAUUCUUCAGGAUUGCCCUACUGGCCCUACCUCACAGCUGAAACUUUAAAAAACAGGAUGGGCCACCAGCCACCUCCUCCAACUCAACAACAUUCUAUAAUUGAUAACUCCCUGAGCCUCAAGACACCUUCCGAGUGUGUGCUCUAUCCCCUUCCACCCUCAGCGGAUGAUAAUCUCAAGACACCUCCCGAGUGUCUGCUCACUCCCCUUCCACCCUCAGCUCUACCCUCAGCGGAUGAUAAUCUCAAGACACCUGCCGAGUGCCUGCUCUAUCCCCUUCCACCCUCAGCGGAUGAUAAUCUCAAGACACCUCCCGAGUGUCUGCUCACUCCCCUUCCACCCUCAGCUCCACCCUCAGCGGAUGAUAAUCUCAAGACACCUCCUGAGUGUGUCUGCUCACUCCCCUUCCACCCUCAGCGGAUGAUAAUCUCAAGAAACUAAGGAAGAAUAAAUAAAUAAUAUAAAAAUAAAAUGAAUACUGCAGUCCUUA
rnacentral:lncRNA from 1 species